UACGUAGGGUGCAAGCGUUAUCCGGAAUUAUUGGGCGUAAAGAGCUCGUAGGCGGUUUGUCGCGUCUGCCGUGAAAGUCCGGGGCUCAACUCCGGAUCUGCGGUGGGUACGGGCAGACUAGAGUGAUGUAGGGGAGACUGGAAUUCCUGGUGUAGCGGUGAAAUGCGCAGAUAUCAGGAGGAACACCGGUGGCGAAGGCGGGUCUCUGGGCCGUAACUGACGCUGGAGGAGCGAAAGCGUGGGGAGCGAACAGG
rnacentral:rRNA from 1 species